rfam:Sugiyamaella lignohabitans strain CBS 10342 chromosome A, complete sequence.
AGCGACAUGGCGCAAUGGAAGCGCGCAGGGCUCAUAACCCUGAGGUUCCAGGAUCGAAACCUGGUGUCGCUA